GACGAACGCUGGCGGCGUGCUUAACACAUGCAAGUCGAGCGACAGUCUCUUUCGGGGGAUAUGGAGCGGCGAACGGGUGAGUAACACGUGGGCAACCUGCCCUCAGCUCUGGGAUAACUCCGGGAAACCGGGGCUAAUACCGGAUAUGACUGCUCCUGGCAUCGGGGGUGGUGGAAAGUUCUUCGGCUGAGGAUGGGCCCGCGGCCUAUCAGCUUGUUGGUGGGGUUACGGCCUACCAAGGCGACGACGGGUAGCCGGCUUGAGAGGGCGACCGGCCACACUGGGACUGAGACACGGCCCAGACUCCUACGGGAGGCAGCAGUGGGGAAUAUUGCGCAAUGGGCGAAAGCCUGACGCAGCGACGCCGCGUGAGGGAUGAAGGCCUUCGGGUUGUAAACCUCUUUCAGCAGGGACGAAGCGAGAGUGACGGUACCUGCAGAAGAAGCACCGGCCAACUACGUGCCAGCAGCCGCGGUAAUACGUAGGGUGCAAGCGUUGUCCGGAAUUAUUGGGCGUAAAGAGCUCGUAGGCGGUCUGUCGCGUCGGCUGUGAAAACUCGGGGCUCAACCCCGAGCCUGCAGUCGAUACGGGCAGACUAGAGUGCUGUAGGGGAGACUGGAAUUCCUGGUGUAGCGGUGAAAUGCGCAGAUAUCAGGAGGAACACCGGUGGCGAAGGCGGGUCUCUGGGCAUAAUGACGCUGAGGAGCGAAAGCGUGGGGAGCGAACAGGAUAGAUACCCUGGUAGUCCACGCCGUAAACGGUGGUUGUUAGGUGUGAGCGGUAUUCCACGCCGUUCGUGCCGCAGUAAACGCAUUAAGCACCCCGCCUGGGGAGUACGGCCGCAAGGCUAAAACUCAAAGGAAUUGACGGGGGCCCGCACAAGCAGCGGAGCAUGUGGCUUAAUUCGACGCAACGCGAAGAACUUUACCAAGGCUUGACAUACAGGGAAAUUUCUCAGAGAUGGGAGGUCCGCAAGGGUCCUGCACAGGUGGUGCAUGGUUGUCGUCAGCUCGUGUCGUGAGAUGUUGGGUUAAGUCCCGCAACGAGCGCAACCCUCGUUCUAUGUUGCCAGCGCGUGAUGGCGGGGACUCAUAGGAGACUGCCGGGGUCAACUCGGAGGAAGGUGGGGACGACGUCAAAUCAUCAUGCCCCUUAUGUCUUGGGCUGCACACAUGCUACAAUGGCCGGUACAAUGGGCUGCUAAACCGCGAGGUGGAGCGAAUCCCAAAAAGCCGGUCUCAGUUCGGAUUGGGGUCUGCAACUCGACCCCAUGAAGUCGGAGUUGCUAGUAAUCGCAGAUCAGCAACGCUGCGGUGAAUACGUUCCCGGGCCU
rnacentral:rRNA from 1 species